rnacentral:rRNA from 1 species
UAUGUGAUCGUCUCUCGCAUAUCAAUAAGCGGAGGAAAAGAAACUAACAAGGAUUCCCCUAGUAACGGCGAGUGAAGCGGGAAGAGCUCAAAUUUGAAAUCUUAAAGGGUUUCCCUUUACGAAUUGUAGUUUAAAGAAGUGUUUUCUGUUGAGGUUUUGGUAAAAGUUCUUUGGAAUAGGACAUCAUAGAGGGUGAGAAUCCCGUAUUUGACCUUUACUUUCAACUUUGUGAUACACUUUCAAAGAGUCGGAUUGUUUGGGAAUGCAGUCCAAAAUGGGUGGUAAAUUUCAUCUAAAGCUAAAUAUUGGCGAGAGACCGAUAGCGAACAAGCUACCGUGAGGGAAAGAUGAAAAGAACUUUGAAAAGAGAGUUAAACAGUACGUGAAAUUGUCAAAAGGGAAGCGUUUGACACCAGUGUUGUUUUUCUGAAAAUCAAUUAAAGAACUGUUUAUGCUAAGUUGUUUAGACUUUAUCAGCUAUCUGUUUAGUUUUGAGCCUUUUCUUUAAUGCACUUUUCAGUUAACAAGUCAACAUCAACUUCCUUUUGCUGUAAAAAAGCUUGAGGAAGGUGGCUUGAGAUUCGUCUUAAGUGUUUAUGGCCUCUUGCCUAUGCAGUCGGAGAGAUUGAGGUCUGCAGCGUAGAUCCUUCGGGGCUAAAUGCAUUUGUGCUAAGUUAUAGCAUUUUAUAGACAACUUGUUGACUAUGAUUUGUCUUGUAGCUUACUCGCUUAUGUUAUUUUACCUACGCUUAGGAUGUUGAAGACUCUACAGAGAU